ensembl:snRNA U6 U6 spliceosomal RNA
CUUCAAUUUUAAAAAAGUACAAAUUUUAUUGGAACAAUACAGAGAAGAUUAGCAUGGCCCCUGCUCAAGGAUGACACGGAAAUUCGUGAAGCGUUCCAUAUUUUU